UACAGAGGUCCCAAGCGUUGUUCGGAUUCACUGGGCGUAAAGGGUGCGUAGGUGGUGAGGUAAGUCGGAUGUGAAAGCUCGGAGCUCAACUCCGAAAUGGCAUUGGAAACUACCCUGCUAGAGGAUUGGAGGGGGGACUGGAAUACUUGGUGUAGCAGUGAAAUGCGUAGAUAUCAAGUGGAACACCAGUGGCGAAGGCGAGUCCCUGGACAAUUCCUGACACUGAGGCACGAAAGCUAGGGGAGCAAACAGG
rnacentral:rRNA from 1 species